rnacentral:rRNA from 1 species
CCAGGAUGUUGGCUUAGAAGCAGCCAUCAUUUAAAGAAAGCGUAAUAGCUCACUGGUCGAGUCGGCCUGCGCGGAAGAUGUAACGGGGCUAAACCAUGCACCGAAGCUGCGGCAGCGAACGUAUCACUUAAAGCGAUUCAGCGGGUUACGAUUGACGGAGCGAAGCGACGUCAAAGCGUAUACAAAGUCGAGUCGGUUUAAGGAUACGUUCGUUGGGUAGGGGAGCGUUCUGUAAGCCUGUGAAGGUGGCCUGUGAGGGUUGCUGGAGGUAUCAGAAGUGCGAAUGCUGACAUAAGUAACGAUAAAGCGGGUGAAAAGCCCGCUCGCCGGAAGACCAAGGGUUCCUGUCCAACGUUAAUCGGGGCAGGGUGAGUCGACCCCUAAGGCGAGGCCGAAAGGCGUAGUCGAUGGGAAACGGGUUAAUAUUCCCGUACUUGGUGUUACUGCGAAGGGGGGACGGAGAAGGCUAUGUUGGCCGGGCGACGGUUGUCCCGGUUUAAGCGUGUAGGUGUGUGUUCCAGGUAAAUCCGGUUCACUUUAACACUGAGGCGUGAUGACGAGGCACUACGGUGCUGAAGCAACAAAUGCCCUGCUUCCAGGAAAAGCCUCUAAGCAUCAGGUAACAUCAAAUCGUACCCCAAACCGACACAGGUGGUCAGGUAGAGAAUACCAAGGCGCUUGAGAGAACUCGGGUGAAGGAACUAGGCAAAAUGGUGCCGUAACUUCGGGAGAAGGCACGCUGACACGUAGGUGAAGUGAUUUACUCACGGAGCUGAAGUCAGUCGAAGAUACCAGCUGGCUGCAACUGUUUAUUAAAAACACAGCACUGUGCAAACACGAAAGUGGACGUAUACGGUGUGACGCCUGCCCGGUGCCGGAAGGUUAAUUGAUGGGG